UACGUAGGGUGCAAGCGUUGUCCGGAAUUAUUGGGCGUAAAGAGCUCGUAGGCGGCUUGUCGCGUCGGCCGUGAAAACCUGCAGCUUAACUGUGGGCGUGCGGUCGAUACGGGCAUCACUGGAGUUCGGCAGGGGAGACUGGAAUUCCUGGUGUAGCGGUGAAAUGCGCAGAUAUCAGGAGGAACACCGGUGGCGAAGGCGGGUCUCUGGGCCGAUACUGACGCUGAGGAGCGAAAGCGUGGGGAGCAAACAGG
rnacentral:rRNA from 1 species